rnacentral:lncRNA from 1 species
AAGCUCUUUGUGACAUAAGAGCUAGUACAGUUGUGGAGUCAUGGUGGGAUGAAAAGGAGAAGAUAGAGGAAGAUUCCAUUAUGUUUAUUAAGCUUCAAUACCCUAAUCUGAUCAUCGACAUAAUGGAGGAAACACCUAGUUUUUGGACAUUCUUAAUGGGGAACAUAUAUACAAAGAGCAUACUAGGUGACUUUCAUUCAAG